AUGCUGCUCAAGGUGAAUCCCAACAAAAUCAAAAUCAUAUACCUGAAGCACACAGGUGAGGAAUUAGGUCCCAUGUCUGCUCUCACCCCCAAGAUUGGUCCCCUGGGUCUGCCUCCAGAAAAGGUUGGUGAUGACAUUUCCAAGGCAACUGGUGAUUGAAAAGCUCUAAGAAUUGUUAUGAAAGUGACAAUCAGGUCGGAACAGAUUGAGGUGAUACCUUUUGCCUCCACCCUUAUCAUCAAAGUCCUCAAGGAAUCACCCAAAGAAAAAAAAGCAGAAAAACAUUAAGCAUAGUGAAAAUAGCACUUUCAAUGAGAUUGUCAACAUUGCCUGACAGAUGCUGCACCCAUCAUUAGCCACAGAACUCUCUGAAACCAUUAAAGAGAUCCUGAGGACUGCCCAGUCUGUGGGCUGCAAUGCUGACGGCGCCACCCUCACGCUAUCACAGAUGACACUGACAGUGGUGUGGAGGAGUGCUCAGCUAGU
rnacentral:lncRNA from 1 species